rnacentral:rRNA from 1 species
UAGGGAAUCUUCCACAAUGGGCGAAAGCCUGAUGGAGCAACGCCGCGUGUGUGAUGAAGGCUUUCGGGUCGUAAAACUCUGUUGUUAAAGAAGAACAUAUCUGAGAGUAACUGUUCAGGUAUUGACGGUAUUUAACCAGAAAGCCACGGCUAACUACGUGCCAG